UCCCUGAUGUUAGCGGCGGACGGGUGAGUAACACGUGGGUAACCUGCCUGUAAGACUGGGAUAACUCCGGGAAACCGGGGCUAAUACCGGAUGGUUGUUUGAACCGCAUGGUUCAAACAUAAAAGGUGGCUUCGGCUACCACUUACAGAUGGACCCGCGGCGCAUUAGCUAGUUGGUGAGGUAACGGCUCACCAAGGCAACGAUGCGUAGCCGACCUGAGAGGGUGAUCGGCCACACUGGGACUGAGACACGGCCCAGACUCCUACGGGAGGCAGCAGUAGGGAAUCUUCCGCAAUGGACGAAAGUCUGACGGAGCAACGCCGCGUGAGUGAUGAAGGUUUUCGGAUCGUAAAGCUCUGUUGUUAGGGAAGAACAAGUACCGUUCGAAUAGGGCGGUACCUUGACGGUACCUAACCAGAAAGCCACGGCUAACUACGUGCCAGCAGCCGCGGUAAUACGUAGGUGGCAAGCGUUGUCCGGAAUUAUUGGGCGUAAAGGGCUCGCAGGCGGUUUCUUAAGUCUGAUGUGAAAGCCCCCGGCUCAACCGGGGAGGGUCAUUGGAAACUGGGGAACUUGAGUGCAGAAGAGGAGAGUGGAAUUC
rnacentral:rRNA from 1 species